GACGGAGGAUGCAAGCGUUAUACGGAAUGAUUGGGCGUAAAGCGUCCGCAGGUGGCAGUUCAAGUCUGCUGUCAAAGACCGGGGCUUAACUUCGGAAAGGCAGUGGAAACUGAACAGCUAGAGUAUGGUAGGGGCAGAGGGAAUUCCUGGUGUAGCGGUGAGAUGCGUAGAGAUCAGGAAGAACAUCGGUGGCGAAGGCGCUCUGCUGGACCAUAACUGACACUCAGGGACGAAAGCUAGGGGAGCGAAUGGG
rnacentral:rRNA from 1 species